GGUUGCAUAUACAUUUCUUGUCUCUCCCAGGAGACGAGUGAAGCCGAGCGGCGCCGCAUCGAGGCUGAGUUUGAGCGGCUGCGCCGGCUGCUGGCAGAGCCGGAGCGCACUGUGCUGGGGCGCCUGGCUGAGCUGGACCACACCUUCUAACUACCCAUGCCGAAAAAUCACUGCGGGUGGCCAAGGGGGUUGCACAGCUUCACAGACUCAUCAGGCAGCUAGAGGCCAGGUGCUUGCCCCAGCUUGAGUGAAAUGAGGCUCCACCUCCCCUCGGGACUCCCCAAGGAGCUGGAGAAGAGCCUGAGCUCCUGCUGCCACCAAAGCAAUGCUCUGUCGGAGACCCUGGAGAAGUUCAGAGAGCCUCUGUUCUAGGUCAGCCUUCACAAGGCAUCAAUGGCUUCCACCUCAGCCGGCAGCUGGCCAACGUGAUGGUGGCAGUGCAGGAGCUGGUCCUACAGCCAGUGCAGGAUCUGUGCCACAGGCACCAGUGACCCCUCACUCUCUUCUGUCACAGCGAUGGAGUCCUUGUCUGCACCACCUGCGCCGAGCAUCGCACCAAUCCUGCCUUGCUGCUCAAAGAGGCCGCUCGCUGCUACAGGGGGACCUUGGAGAGAUGGCAUAUCCCAGCCUAUCUGGGAGACCUGAAUUCCAUCACCGUGCUAGAGGUUGGAGGAACAGCAACGUGGUGAAGCUGUUGAGAUGGAUCCAGCAAUGCCAUGCAGAGCUCCAGGCCAAGUGCCAGCAACCAGAUGGCAACCUGCUAUGGGAUGUCUGAACCACGUUGAACAGCUAUUGGAGCCAAAAAACAUCACCAGGAACACCAGUUUUGGCCCCCAGCCCUCAAUUUUUCAGAUUGUCUUCUCCCCCUGUGUUCUUUUCCUCUGGGAAUUUUGCUUUGGAGCUAGAGAGGGUUGAUGGUUAAUCCAAAAUUUUGUGAUGAUGGGGGAAUCUUCCAUCAUAUCUUGCAGGAGUGGGAGCCUUGCCCACAGAAGUAAAGAUGUCCCAGUGUUUCUCUAGCAAUGGGGAAAGGAAAUUUGGGAAUUUCUUGGCAUUAAACACCCCAAUUUACUCCCCCUGAGGUGCACAGAGAUGAAGGUACAGCCGUCACUGCUGUUGAUGUCAGAACUGGAAACAGCUUGAGGAUUUCACUCGAAAAAUCAACCAUGCUGGAGAGGCAGUGGUACAAUUUAAAGGUGCAUGGAGGGUAAAAAUUGGCAAAAAAGGGAAUUUAUUAAGCAAAAAUGGGAAGGCAGAUUUGGCUGGAAAGUGAAAACAUGACAGAUGCUCCUUUAUUUAAAAGAAAAUCAGGGAUUUAUUCCUGAUUAGCCUUAAGGGAUAGAAGACUGAAGGUGGGAGGUGCAGAAUGCUGUUGAUGCUUAAUUAGCACACAAAUUAGGACACUAUGUGUGGAGAGAGGUGAUGCCUCAGAUGAAGGGGGUCGUGUCUCCCACCUCACGUACCCUCUCUGUGCAGCAGGGUGGAUAUGGGGAAGGCUCAGGGCCAGAUCCAGAGCUAAAAAUCUUUGGGGUCAUCUUCUAUUUCCAGACAUCUUGGAAUGCGCUCUGGAGGAAGCCUCAGAGGGAUACCAGAUAGAUGAGUCUGGCUUCAGGGACUUACUGAACCCCCAUUCGGGCUCUGUGUCUGGAGCUGAUGCUCUGGUGCAAUUUUUGGAGGUGAUAUUCCAAUGCAUAGAGGCUCAUGAUCAUCCCUCUCCCUGCCAGCAGCCGUGACCCUGGAUCCAGUCACACCUCACCCCCAGAUCCUGGUGUCAGUGGAUGGCUGGACUGCAGGUCACUGGGAAUCACCCCCAGCUCCUCUGCCCUCAGGAAUGGAGUGUUUUGAGUGUCUCUGCUGUGUUUUGGGUCAGCAGGACUUUGUAGGGGACUGUCAUUGUUGGGCCAUGGAGGUUUGUCCUGGUCCCGACUGGGCACUGGGGGUGGCUUUGGAAUUCGUGUCCCAUAAAGGCUGCUUUGGUCUCAGCCCCAGACCUGGGCCUUGGGCUGUGGGGCAGUGGUUGGGGCAGCUGCAGGCUCUCACCUGGCCCAGCCCUACAUCUCUGCCCCAUAACCACACUGUCCGACACAUCGAGGUGGCUGUGGAUUACCACGGCUUUCCGUCAUGCUGAUAGUCAGACUGAAGUCUUUGCCUUUCCCCCACCCACUUUCACACUCUGGCCACUGCUCUGGCUGGGCCAGGAGCCAGUUUUUCUCACCCUCUGUCCUUGAGUCCCCCAAAAAUCCACUAUGAACCUCCCAAGUCUAAACACUUCCACCACCCCAGCAAACACUCCACUCGAACAACAAACAGCCCCACUUCUCUGACAGCCCAUUUAAUUUCCCUUACAACAUCUAAUUUAACAACCAUAUUUCACUCUUUCGCUUCUCAGUGGGAGAACAGAGGUAUUUUUAAUUUCUCAGCUGUUUGUCAGUGGAAACAUGGACCAGAUAAACAGGGAAAAUGUCCCUAAAAGAUUUUUAAAAACUCACCUUGAAGAGGAAAUUGGGCUUUGCUGGUGCUGCUAGAUGUCUCAUGAUAAGGUUUUGCAAGUGGAAAUUUUCUGCUUGGGAUUUGUAGAGAAUUUAGGGGAAGUGGGUUAAAACCAUGUUUCAUGCCUAUCAGGAUCACUCAGGCUUGGGCUUUUUCAGGGCUUUGUAUUCACUGCCAGGAUGUAAGCAGGAGAGAGGCCACAGACAGAAUUUCAUCCCCCAUUUCACUGCCUACAAGUGAAUAGAAGGGGAACAAAACUAAAUGAACUGGUAUCUUGAAGCAGUAGCAGGUUGCUGUUAGGGUUCAGCCAUGUAACAAAGUGCUGUUAUCAGCAAGUGCAGACAGGACUGGGCAGGUCUCUGCCUCUUGCAGUCCCCGUCAUCCCUUUGCUGCCGGAAUUGCCUCCUCAUCCCCAUGCACUCUUCACCUUGGUCUGAGGAAGAAGAGACUCUACCAGUAAAGGCAGCAACUUUUAUCUUCAGGACCCCAAUUUUAGACAAGGGUCCUGACAAAACACAGGUCACAGCUAAACCCACAUUACAGCCCUGCUCAGUUGUAUAAUUAGUUUUUUUCCCUGUUUGGCUCAUGGUGAGGUUGGCCUUUCCUUGAAAGACAAGGUCCAGUGAUGUGUAAAGCAAAGUACUUCUUUGCAGCAUCCUGUUGCAACAGAUGAACUUCCAACCCUCCAUCCACUUUUCAUCUGCAAAGCUUUAUGGAUAUUUAAUUUGAAAGUCCAUUAAAAAAAAACCAACAAAACACAAAAACCAAAACCAAAACAAAACCAAAACAAAACCUGCCUUUUGGUGUAACUCAGUAUCCCCACAGCUUGCUCUCCAGCAUUGGAGGGGCAAGGAAAUCAGCCUCUUUUUGCUCAAGGGCAGCUCAACAGUGUCCUGUCAGCAGCUGGGAGAGCAAAUGGUUGGGUGUGGAGGGUGCACAGCCCCCAGUCCUUGAGCAGAGCCAGUAGAUGCAUCUUGUAGCUCUCCCACAGGGACCCUUGGACCUCAAAGUCCUCCUGAGUGACAGGCACACCUCAUACCAACCCAUGGAAGAGUCUGUGGGGAGUAGCUGAAGUUUUUUUUUUUUUUUUCUCUGCACAGGGGUGGAAAAUUUUUUCACAAAGCUGGAGCCCAGGGUGGAUUUUGUGGGGGUCUGGGGCUUGAGGAUGAGCAUUCCCACGGGGGAAUUUAGCCAUUGUCUCCUGCUUCUCCCCAUGCUGCUCUUCUUCCACUAACACCUCAGGAUCAGACUCAGUGGGAACUGUGCAUCCAAGGGAAGUGCAGCAGGCAUGGAGGGGCAAACCUGAGAGAGUACUGCAGGUCCUUCAGGGUGUUAAUCUUCUCCUGCUUCUCACUGAGGUCCACUGUAAAUGGAAAGAGGUGGAUUUGGGGAUGGGUUUACAACUAUUCAACUUUUUAUUAACUAUUAAUGAUUUGUUGGUGUUGGUGGGUGCUUAUAAAAAAGGAGAUCAAAAGGCACUUUUUAAAAUCAGCAGCUUGUUACAUCCAGAAGUCACAAAAUACAGAUCCAGUGCAAACCAGAGGGGUGUCUUGGUUUUUAAUUUUGGUUUUGGGUAUCCUCUGGUUUGCUCCAUUCUGGGCCUUCUCCCCAAGGGAGCAGCUAGCACAGUGGGAGAUGGGGAUUUUCCAUCUCAAAACAAUGCCCACAGGGAAUAAAUCCCCAAAUUAGGGAGGAACUUUUUAAAGAAAUGGUGGCCUCUGCACUGCUGCCUUGAGGAGAAAGUGCUCCCCAACCCCUCUGCCUUUGAUGAGGGUUGAUAAAUGCCCAACCCCCUUGUUUUUGAGAAGACUGUCCCCUUUUAAGUGAAAAUAAGACUUGUUGCUUUCAGCACUAGCAGUGGACAUGGGGAAGAAACAACUCCAAAAAAAUUCCCAAACCCUUCCAGAAUUAGCCUAUAUGCUGCUUGGGGGGAGUUUUUCAGGUGUCACCAGUUUGCCCAGUUCCCCCCUCCAGGGGCCUUUCCCCCUCUUCUUGCCCAGUUUAUUGGGAUAAAUGUUAUAAUUUAUUUUUUUUUCCAUUUUAUAAUUUCUGUUUCUCUGAUAAGAGGUUUUUUCUCCCCAGAAUGAAGCAAAGCAGGAUGUUUCUCCGUCCAAGUUCCUUCAUUGACCAAAAUCCCCUCCAAAAAGCCACAUCUGAGGGUUUAUUUAUGCUAAAAAAAUUAAAUUGAAAAAUUUAAAAUUUAAAUUAAAAAAAUAGAUUUAAAAAAUGUAGGAUGAAACACUAUAGUGCAUUAUAGGGCCUUAGCAGCAUGAAUAGAGCUGAUAGCUGGGUUGAGCAAAAGAGAUCUGAAUUUUGGGUAAUUUUUACUUUUUGCCUUCCAUUCUGUAAAGCAUUCACUCUGUAUGGACCCAUGCUUUAGAUCUGAAUUUCCCACAUGGAGGAAUUUCCCCCUGGAGUUACAGUGAGCCAGCUAUGCUUUGCUGCUCACCCAAAUCCUCCACACAAAAACUUAUCAAACUUCAAAAAAAU
rnacentral:lncRNA from 1 species